rnacentral:rRNA from 1 species
UCCAGCUCCACCCUGAACGCACCCGAUCUCGUCUGAUCUCAGAAGCUAAGCAGGGUCGGGCCUGGCUAGUACUUGGAUGGGAGACCACCUGGGAAAUUUAUAUAUACUUGAA